ensembl:lncRNA
CUCACUAAAGAAAUAGUAAAAAAAAAAAUACCCUCAUUGAUUACGAGAAUAAAUCAAGAAGCAUCUCCUUUUAUAUAUGAUGUGCUUUUUAUACCUUGGUCUAUGGUCACUAAUUAUCACUGUAAAAAGAAGAAGGAAUUACUCAAAUCACUGGGUUACUAGACAUAGAUAGUUAGAUUAAAUUUAAGCAGUUCCCUUUUGUUCACCUAGUCACAAAUCUUCACAUGAAAUUGUAAGGCUGGGAUUCAAUCGGAUCCAUGUUAGAUCAGUGCAAUUGUGCAUUUGACAUUUAAAACCGAAAUCGAUCAAAUCAGUUGGAUUCUAAAAUGCCCUUACUUUGUUUCACAAUGUCCCAGUGCCUCCACAGAAAAGAAAGGCCAGACACCGCCAAAAUUACAAGAACCAAGGUAACUGUUAUGUUUUGUCCACCUGUGAAGACAACUGGUGAUGCUGUUUUAGUUGGUGGAAGAGAGUUUAGCCAUUAUUCAAAGCAAUGCAAUUAAAGUUUAUGUUAUUUUAAAAUGUUAAAAGUUGUAAAAAAAAAUUGCUUCAGAUAAUGCAUCUUUGAGCUUCAAAAGCUUCCAUAGUCAGUGAUUGACUUGGGCCGGAGCUGUCUGGUGCAUAAAAAUACGACCAAUUUAAUGUCCUCCUGGUUGGGAUCGCAGCUUAGCUUUCAAUCCCAUGGUUGUGAGGCAUAGCUUAGCUUUCUGUUCAAAAAUUCUAUAUCAGGAAAAUAAGUACAGACAACAGACUAACCAAAUAACUAAUUCUAACACCUAGCUUGUAGCAUGGUCAUUUCAUGGUAAUUUUUUUUGGUGGCCUAAAGGCACCUGUAUAGCUCCACAACAAUGUCUGUGUAGGCAUUACUGGGCCUCAUACGCAAAUGUUCGCAUGCAGUGCUUCAUCAUAUUUGCCAACUUCUACUGCCGGUCAUCAGGGAAUACAGCACAAUCGCCGUGCCACUCACAUCGCUGCUGAAAGGCCAACCACAGCGCCCCUACUGGUCCCCGGAGGCAGAGAAGGUCGUCCUCAACCUGAAGGGCAGGUACACCAACGAUCUCAUGCUAUGCCAUCCAGACCUGCUCAAGUUGGGGUGGGGGCAGUCCUCUCCCAGCAGCACAGGACCCCUCCCCAGCUCCAUCCUCUACUUACUUCUCCCAGAAGCUAACUGCUGCAACGUGGGUGACCGUGAGCUGCGGUGAAGUUGGCACUGGAGGUGUUGAGACACUGGCUGGUGGGCGCCCGGGAGCUGUUCUGACAGACCACCAGAACCUAGAACAAGUCAGGGCUGCGCGGUGCCUCAACGUCCGCCAGCCCAGAUGGUCCCUGUUCUUCGAUCGCUUCCAGUUCACUCUGACAUACCGACCAGUUAUGAAGAAUGUCAGGGCGGACGCACUAUCCUGCCUUCUUGACCGAGGGCAGAACUGCCAAUGGACAUGCCAAUCCUGCCCGCUCUGUGGGUCCUGUCUCCUGGGACAUUGACGAGAACAGUCGUCGAGCAGGGAGAUGGGACCCCAUACUACCGCCAUGCCCCCAGACAAGACCUACGUGCUCCGAAGACUGUGGGGCCGGUUGGUGACCUGGGCACAACCUGCUCUGGGAGAAGUCCUGCUGGGCUGGCAUGCGAAGGACUUUACAUCAAAUAUACCUCACUUUGAAAAUUCACAAACUGCUUAUAGAAAUUGUUACCUUAACAUUAGUUAUAUGUAGAUUGGGUACAUUAUUUCAGGCAUUCAUAUGCCUGAUAUGUGUUUUCUACAGUAGCUUAACAUUUAUACAAUAGUCGGUGAGGUUUUGGCAAUUGUUCAGAUUUUUCCUUUCUCAAUUGUUUUAUGUUGUCACAGUUCUAUGUUCAGUUCAAUUAACCUUCAGUCAAUAUUGUUUACUUCUGUGACUCAUCAGAUCCUGUGACUCAUCAGUUUACUCCUGUGACUCAUGAACCAACUUGGAAAAAGAAAGCUCCAGCCCAUAAUGAAAUCCAAGUCAAGCACUGUCCAUAGCUUUCAAAUGUAAACAUGUUAAUGAUGAAUUACAAUUAUGUAAAACCUGUAUUAUUGACAAGACUAUAAACUGCACUGUUGCAAUAUACAGUGUAGCAAUCCAUGUAUUUAAGCAUUAAAAAUACACUAAACAUACACAUUACACAAUACUGACAUGAUCUUACCUUCCACAUCUUCAUCUCUGUUGACCCAUAAGACCAGAUAAUCCCCUGUUGACUUCACUUGACUGAUUGGGUGUUUACAUUUGCUGUACACACAGCUGUACUUGCCUGAGUCUUGUUUUCUAACUUCUUUCAACAAGAAAACAGAUUCAGCACCUUUCUUCAUUGGUGCCAUUUGCAUCCCAACUCCAUCCUUGCAAAGGUAAAAAUGAACCAUGUCCCCGCUUAUAGUGAUGUUAUUAGUUUGACACUUGAAAUGUAUUGUGGUCCCUUCAGUCACAUUAGAUGGUCCAAAGAGCUUUGUGGGGUAGAUCUC